CCCUGUAGCUCAGUUGGUAGAGCAUGGUGUUUGCAACGCCAGGGUUGUGGGUUCGAUUCCCAUAGGGG
rnacentral:tRNA from 1 species